rnacentral:lncRNA from 1 species
UAAAACAGAGGCAAAACAUCCUCGUCAAAAGACCACCCGCUACAUCUUCACCCUUCGUGCUCGUGGGUGGAAGUAGCUUUGCAGCUAACAGACUAUCAUUUUUGCUUUUUCAUUUGACUCUCUAUCCAAAUUGGUAAAAAGAUUUCUCUUUAUAUGGAGUUGCUCAUUCCAACAAACUAUCCAUUUUUCAUCUCCAAAUCCCAAUAGCUAGCUUCCUCUCUAAAAAUAUACACUCUCCAUCCACUCCAACAGU